UACCAAAUCACAUGCUUAUGUUUUUUUUGGUCUUAGACAGCCUCACUAUUAAAAUGAGAAGAUUCUUUGCAUUCUUUUUCCAAGUCAGCUAAAGCUUGCUCUUAUUUGCUCUUAUUUGGACCCUACUUUCUUUCCUUCUGCACAAUUUGCAGCUAUCUCAAACUACACACUAACUAAGAAUCCAAGAAAAAUAACAUAGAAACAUAACACAAAAGCAUUACCAUAUAUAUACACUCCAUAUCCAUCUUCACACUCAACAAAUUUUCACUCUAAAUUCAUCAUGCAUUUCAUUGAGCAUAUAUUGAAGCACUCCUCAGUUAGGUUAUACUCUAUUUGCAUUACUUUAUAAGUUUUUAAAAUUAAAAUCAAAUUUGUUUCAAUAUCCAACGGUUAUGAUUAACUGUUGGUGUAAAAUCCUUUUACAUUGUCAGUGUAUUUCAAUUAAAUUCUUAUUUCAAAUAUGCAUUUUAUUUUGGUGGAUUCUUUUGUUUUUAAUCUACUUUUAAUCCUAUUUUUUAAGGUUACUUUCACUACACUCUCAUUCUCAUGAGUGUAUUUCACUUUCUUUUUGUUUCUCACUUGAUGGUUGAUAUACUAGAAGAUUUAACACUUCCAGCAACAUCUGCCCAAAUUUCAAUUUUCAUGAAAACCUUUUCUUUAAUAUCACUCUCUAUGAUGUCUAUUCUCUCUAAGGAUUUGUUCCUGAGUGUUGCAUUAAUUUGGGGUGUAAAUUUCUUUUUAUUUUAUAGGCUAUAUGCACGACAUGUAAGACUUUCAAAUGAACAAACUCAGGAUUCAGAACACCACUCAGAUAGAAAACAAUUUUUUAAAAAAAAUCUUAUUUUAAUAUGCUUUCAAAAUGCUAUAGCUCUGGGUUCAUUCGUGCCCCUAAAAUUCAACAUACUAAAUUUUUUGAUGAUAAUAUAAAUAUAUUAUGUUUUAUGUUUGUGAUGUUUAAGUUACACUAUGUAUCAACAAUUAUUUUUGAGGUUAUAAAAAGGCAUGUCUUGACUGGAAUGCUGGAAAUAUCUGUUACAAUAUCAUUUCUCUUAUCAUAUUAUCUAUCUCCUUUUAAUGCCUUUUUUCCAACGAUAUGCAAUAUAUACAUGGAUGAGGAAAAAGUGUUUUGAAUGUUGGUCUUGGUGUUGGUGUCUGUGGUGUACUCGAUGUUGUUGUUGUUGUCGAAGGACUACCGAAAAUCAGACAAUAUCUUCGACACUAGAUGACAUUUCAAGUGGUCAAUCAUCAAUGGGAUGGGACCACCAAAUUUAAAAUUCAACUAUCGCCAUCAAAAUUCAAAUUUUCGUGAUGAUGUUACUCUUAGUGAUACUAAUCCAUAAAUCAUACAACUGAUUAACAUGGGAUGCUUGUGUUUACCUUUUCUUUUUGUUGUAAUUUGAUUCUUAGAAUAGAGGUUUAGAACUGAUGUAGUUUUAGGUACUAGACUUGCUAAAAGAAAAAGAUAGCCCCUACAUUUCUGUGCUCUACCCAGAGCAGGGAAAAAAUGUGCAGGAUCCUCUUCCUGGACCUUUGAACCAUUUAGAAUGUCUAUCAACAUAACCACGCCAUUCCUAUCUACAAUGGCAAUGACAUGGUCGCACCACCAAGUAAAAUCCAUACAACCCAGAAAAGAUUUAUUGCCCCCAUUCGAUAAAUUACCAAAUUUAUCAAUAGUCUGAGCCAUUAUAUCAAGCAAAUAUAUGUUAGGCAUAUAUGCCUUACAUUGAGUGGUGUUUAUAGAAACUACUGUCAUGUUUUAUUUAUGUUACUUUUAAUACACCAUUUUAUGCUAAUAUAUUAAAGGGUUAAUACCUAUUCUUUUUCCCGUCA